UGGGGAAUAUUGCACAAUGGGCGCAAGCCUGAUGCAGCCAUGCCGCGUGUGUGAAGAAGGCCUUCGGGUUGUAAAGCACUUUCAGCGAGGAGGAAGGUGGUGAGCUUAAUACGCUCAUCAAUUGACGUUACUCGCAGAAGAAGCACCGGCUAACUCCGUGCCAGCAGCCGCGGUAAUACGGAGGGUGCAAGCGUUAAUCGGAAUUACUGGGCGUAAAGCGCACGCAGGCGGUUUGUUAAGUCAGAUGUGAAAUCCCCCGGGCUCAACCUGGGAACUGCAUUUGAAACUGGCAAGCUAGAGUCUCGUAGAGGGGGGUAGAAUUCCAGGUGUAGCGGUGAAAUGCGUAGAGAUCUGGAGGAAUACCGGUGGCGAAGGCGGCCCCCUGGACGAAGACUGACGCUCAGGUGCGAAAGCGUGGGGAGCAAACAGGAUUAGAUACCCCUGGUAGUCCACGCUGUAAAACGAUGUCGAUUUUGGAGGUUGUGCCCCUUGAGGCGUGGNUUCCGGAGCUAACGCGUUAAAGUCGACCG
rnacentral:rRNA from 1 species